CCUACGGGAGGCAGCAGUGAGGAAUAUUGGUCAAUGGACGAAAGUCUGAACCAGCCAAGUAGCGUGAAGGAUGACUGCCCUAUGAGUUGUAAACUGCUUUUAUAUGGGAGUAAAAUGUUCCACGUGUGGGAUUUUGUAUGUACCGUAUGAAUAAGGAUCGGCUAACUCCGUGCCAGCAGCCGCGGUAAUACGGAGGAUCCGAGCGUUAUCCGGAUUUAUUGGGUUUAAAGGGAGCGUAGGCGGAUUGUUAAGUUAGUGGUGAAAGUUUGGGGCUCAACUGUAAAAUUGCAGUUGAAACUGGCAGUCUUGAGUACAGUAGAGGUGGGCGGAAUGCGUGGUGUAGCGGUGAAAUGCUUAGAUAUCACGAAGAACUCCGAUUGCGAAGGCAGUUCACUGGACUGCAACUGACACUGAGGCUCGAAAGUGUGGGGAUCAAACAGGAUUAUAUACCCCAGUAGUC
rnacentral:rRNA from 1 species